GGAUUUAAGGGCGAUCUGGCCACGACAUCUGUCACCCCAUUGAUCACCAGGGUUGAUUCAGCUGAUCUGGCUGGCUAGGCGGGUGUCCCCUUCCUCCCUCACCACUCCACGUGCAUCCCUCCCAAAGCUACAUGCUGGGUGGAAGAGGAUGGCCUUCCCCGAAUAGAGACGGACCGGUCUUCAGUCAAGGGUAUACGAGUAGCUGCGCUCCCCUGCUAGAACCUCCAAGAUUUUGAUUCAGAGACUUAGAUGCAGGUGCUAUGAACUAUAUAUAAAUGGUGAUGAACCCCAGAAGAGAACCAUCAGAAAAUUAUGCAGGAAAGAAAGAGGGCUAAAGGCAAAAGUAUGGGGCCCACUGU
rnacentral:snRNA from 1 species